rnacentral:rRNA from 1 species
UAUCUCUGUAGAGUCUGCAUAUCAAUAAGCGGAGGAAAAGAAACUAACUAGGAUUCCCUUAGUAACGGCGAGUGAAGCGGGAAGAGCUCAAAUUUGAAAUCUUCAAGGUUCUACCUUGACGAAUUGUAGUUUAAAGAAGUGUUUUCUGUUGGAGUUUUGGUAAAAGUUCUUUGGAAUAGGACAUCAUAGAGGGUGAGAAUCCCGUAUUUGACCAUUAUUUCCAGCUUUGUGAUACACUUUCAAAGAGUCGGAUUGUUUGGGAAUGCAGUCCAAAAUGGGUGGUAAAUUUCAUCUAAAGCUAAAUACUGGCGAGAGACCGAUAGCGAACAAGUACCGUGAGGGAAAGAUGAAAAGAACUUUGAAAAGAGAGUUAAACAGUACGUGAAAUUGUCAAAAGGGGAAGCGUUUGACACCAGUGUUGUUUUCUCGAAAAAUCAAUUAAAAAAGGCAGGAUUUUGUGUUGUAUUGACUUUAUCAGCUUUCUGCAGCUCUUUUCUUGUCUUUUUUAAUGCACUUUUCGUUUAACAAGUCAACAUCAAUUUCUUUUGUUGUAAAAGGGUCAUUGGAAGGUGGCUUUCUUUUCGGAGAAAGUGUUUAUAGCCUUUGGCCUCUGCAAUCGGAGAGAUUGAGGUCUGCAGCGUAGAUCCUUCGGGGUUAGAUACAUUUGUGCUAAGUUAUAGCCUUUCAUAGACAACUUGUUGACUAUGAUCAGUCAUGUAGCUUACUCGCUUAUGCUAUUUUACCUACGCUUAGGAUGUUGAAGAUGUAGCACAUCAU